AGUAGAAGUUGGCAUUUUUGUGAGCUCACUCUCUAUUCUAAGUUUCCGCAGCCACCACUCAGAGCCAGCGAGUGAUGAUCGCUUCGCCGCAGUAAUCGCCGGAAACGAAUACGCCGUUUCCCUGCCGAGAUCUCUCAAUCUCCGACGACUCAGAUACCUCUAUUAAUUUUCCUCCGGUUAGGUUGUUAGGGUAUAAAUAGUACGUAGUUUUUCCUUAUUUAUGGCUUCGGAGAAUGUGAAGACCGGGGAUUCCGCCGUCACCACCAUCGUCAAUCUCGCCGAGGAGGCCAAGCUCGCCAGAGAAGGCGUCGUCAAAGCUCCCAGCUACGCCCUCGCCAGCAUCUGCAAGUCGCUCGUCGCCGGUGGCGUCGCCGGAGGAGUGUCACGUACUGCAGUUGCUCCUCUGGAACGAUUGAAAAUUUUGCUGCAGGUCCAGAAUCCUCAUAACAUUAAAUACAAUGGAACAGUACAAGGCCUAAAAUAUAUAUGGAGGACUGAAGGAUUCCGUGGACUUUUCAAAGGGAAUGGUACUAAUUGUGCUAGAAUUGUCCCUAAUUCUGCUGUUAAGUUCUUCAGUUAUGAGCAAGCUUCUAAAGGUAUACUGCAUCUGUAUCAGCAGCAAACUGGAAAUGAGGAUGCUCAGCUGACUCCUCUUUUACGUCUUGGAGCUGGAGCAUGUGCUGGAAUAAUUGCUAUGUCUGCAACUUAUCCAAUGGAUAUGGUUCGAGGCAGGAUUACUGUGCAGACUGAGGCAUCCCCAUAUCAGUACAGAGGAAUGUUUCAUGCUUUGUCUACUGUGCUUAGGGAAGAAGGUCCUCGUGCUUUAUAUAAGGGCUGGCUUCCUUCAGUUAUUGGAGUUAUUCCUUAUGUAGGUCUCAACUUUGCUGUCUAUGAGUCUCUAAAAGAUUAUUUAAUUAAAUCCAACCCAUUUGGUCUAGUUGAAAAUUCUGAGUUGAGUGUGACAACACGCCUGGCUUGUGGUGCUGCUGCUGGAACUGUUGGACAAACUGUUGCUUACCCUCUUGACGUUAUCCGUCGAAGAAUGCAGAUGGUCGGUUGGAACCAUGCUGCUUCUGUUCUAACUGGCGAUGGAAGAGGCAAAGUUCCACUGGAAUACACUGGAAUGGUUGAUGCAUUCAGAAAAACUGUUCAGCAUGAGGGAUUUGGUGCAUUAUACAAGGGUCUGGUGCCCAACUCUGUAAAGGUGGUCCCAUCGAUAGCAAUUGCAUUCGUAACAUAUGAGGUGGUGAAGGACAUUUUAGGAGUUGAGAUCAGAAUAUCGGACUAAAGUUUGAUAACCUCAGAUAUCUGUUCACCUGGUGUGGUUUUUCUUUGUUUUCUUUUUUGUAGGCAAGGGGAUGCAGAGAUGAUGACACCGUGGGCACAGGAGUUAACUUUUUGGUGCUGGCGUUGUCCCCAUCCUCUUCACUCUGAUGAACCACAGCUUCUGAUGCUAUUGGGAUAACUUGAUGUAGACCAACUUUUCAAAACAAAUUUUGUAGGAACAUCCUUUUUCCUCUUUAUGUUGAUUUGUAAUCCUCCGUGGUAGAAAGAUAUUACAUUUUUCUUCCGUGGCUGAUCAUAAUGGAUGAGUACGCAACGCUUAAUUAGAUGUCAAUAACUGAGUGCUACAACAAUCUUUAAGAGAAUUUACUUCCCCCUGUUGCGUUUACAAAAAAAAUAAAAGUAGCAGCAGGAUUUCAUGUGCC